UACGUAGGGGUCGAGCGUUGUCCGGAGUUACUGGGCGUAAAGCGCGUGCAGGUGGCUCAUUACGCCCGGCGUGAAAGCCCCCGGCUCAACCGGGGAGGGUCGUCGGGGACGGGUGAGCUUGAGGGUAGCAGGGGCUGGUAGAAUUCUCGGUGUAGUGGUGAAAUGCGUAGAUAUCGUAAGGAAGACCAGUGGCGAAGGCGAGUCUCUGGACAGUUACUGACACUGAGGCACGAAGGCCAGGGGAGCAAACGGG
rnacentral:rRNA from 1 species